rnacentral:tRNA from 1 species
GCCUGGGUGGCUCAGUCGGUUGAGCAUCUGACUUCGGCUCAGGUCAUGAUCUCUCAGACUGUGAGUUCGAGCCCCGUGUCAGGCU